AGAUGUGAGAGCUGUCUGGCUGUGACAUCUGUCACCCCAGGGAUCACCAGUGUUGAUUUUGGCUGAUUUGGCUGGAUAGGUAGUUGUCCCCUUCCUCCCUAAAGGCUCUGUGUGCAUGCCUCCUGAAUCUGCGCUCACCAUAAAAAUGGAUGUUCUUCUGUCAAGCGUGAAUGAAUAGCUGUGGUCCCCUGCUAGAACCUCCAAGGAAGCUCACUAGAAAGCGGUGAAGAAGAAAAUAGCGGGUGUUCAGAGGUUAAAUGUGACCUGUGGUCUCAUAGAUCAGU
rfam:Ictidomys tridecemlineatus contig048542, whole genome shotgun sequence.